CCAUUACAUCGUUGAUAAAGGAUACUUUAUGGUCAUAUUCGGCCACGUUGGAGAAAUGAUGCUUCAUGUCGAAGUCAAUUGCAUCGAGGGCUCGAGAUGCAUCUUGGCAACAUCAUCAAGCUUUUUUUAUCGUUUUUCUACCACAAGCCACUCCAACUACAAGCUCGACUUACCUUUGUUCUACAAUUGAAAUACGAUUUGCUUUAGUAACAACGUCAUAUUAAUUUUUGAUGAUUUGACAUUUUUGCCCUGAUACUUGAUCUUUUAUGUUUGAUUGGGGCCUUCCAUAUCGUGCACCACUCAAAUUAACGAAAAAGCUAAGGAUAAGGUAGUGAAGGCCUAACAAUGCCUGACCCCUAUAAAAGGGAGCCUUAGUUGUAUCUGAGCUUCCUACUUUACAAAGCCACCAUCUUUGAUACUAAACAAACAGGUGGCUGCAGUCUGUGGGCAAAGGCAUCCAUGGAAGCCACCUUCUUCAUUUUAGUAGCUAUGCUUACAUCCAUGAACUGAGGAAACGCUGCAAGGAAAUGGAGAGGAAGAAGACAGAUGGUGGUGUGGCCACAGAGGAGAAGAGCUCCAAGGGAAGAGUUCAUCCUAGUGACACCCCUUCACCAGUGUGUCGUGAAGAACGAGGUGAAGGUAAUUGUUGGAGAAGCUCGGUCACCAAAUAAAUCCCCAAAAAAGAAAGAUGAUGAAUUAUUGGGUGUUGAUGGGGGGCUUGUUUUACAUUUAGACAAUGCUAUGUCCACAUAUAUAUAUUUUGCCUUCCAAUGUUCCAAGUCUCUUUAGUAGGGAAAUGUGGGAGGAAUAAUCAUCCAAUUGUUUUCUUUUUCUCUACCUAGAUACGACAGAAAUAGAUGUUGCUUUCAUUAUUAACAUAGUCAGGUUCAUAGCCAUAUGGAAGUUUUUUU